rnacentral:rRNA from 1 species
UACGUAGGCAGCGAGCGUUGUUCGGAGUUACUGGGCGUAAAGCGUGCGUAGGCGGUUGUCUAAGUUUGGUGUGAAAUCUCCUGCUUAACUGGGAGGGUGCGCCGAAAACUGGGUGACUGGAGUGUCGGAGAGGUAAGCGGAAUUCCCGGUGUAGCGGUGGAAUGCGUAGAGAUCGGGAAGAACACCAGUGGCGAAGGCGGUCUGCUGGGCCGUUGCUGACGCUGAGGCGCGACAGCGUGGGGAGCAAACAGG